UACGUAGGGCGCAAGCGUUUAUCCGGAAUUAUUGGGCGUAAAGAGCUCGUAGGCGGUUUGUCGCGUCUGCUGUGAAAACCUAAGGCUCAACCUUGGGCUUGCAGUGGGUACGGGCAGACUAGAGUGCGGUAGGGGUGACUGGAAUUCCUGGUGUAGCGGUGAAAUGCGCAGAUAUCAGGAGGAACACCGAUGGCGAAGGCAGGUCUCUGGGCGAUUAACUGACGCUGAGGAGCGAAAGCAUGGGGAGCGAACAGG
rnacentral:rRNA from 1 species